rnacentral:lncRNA from 1 species
AUGCAAAUAUGGGGGAAUACAACAUAAUACAACAUAUUUUCAAGGAUAAUUCACAUUAUAAAAUUUGCAUUUAAAGUGAGGGUCGAACUUUUUCACUGGGCUAUGGUUUUCAACUGGACUAAGGUGUACUUCAAUUUUGACAGAAAGCUACAACGGAAAACCACCACUUAAAAUCCAAGAACUUGACAAAGAAAAACAAGGCAACGAUGUUUGUUUGGAUGAUAUUCUGCAGAAGACGCACUUGUAUUUAAACCAGGCCCAGAAAUAUUAUACGAAGGCCGAGCAUCUCCAUGUUCUUCUGGAAAAUCUGUCUGAACCAGUUGCAUCCUCAGAAACUACUGACACCCUCAAGACAUGUUCCCCCGAGGAGUUCCUGAGAGUUCGUACAGAAAGGGCUGCAGAGGUAAUGUGCACUGUGCAUGAAACAGAGAAGGAGCAGCAGCAUUUGUUCUCCCCAAGCAUUACUUAAAGAAACCAAGUUUAGAGGGAUGUGGACAGGGUCAGCCUUUUAAAUAGAUGCUUUGUUGUAAAGAAG